GCGGCGGCGACGACGACGACGACGACGACGACGACGACGGCGGCGACGCGGCCACACGUGCCGAUUGCACGUGACGUCGAAUCGGAGCCCGGGGUCGGAGCAGCCAGUCAGGUUUACGCACGGUCAUGUGGUCAAAUGCAACGUGAGGAAGGAACGGCGCAAUUUACGAGCGAACAGCUGUUUCGGAAUAAGGGGAGUUUCAUUAGUAAACGCACCGCGCGCGCAUGCAAAACGAGUCGCACGAUGGGUUCUCGCGACAACGGGGAGUGCGCGGCGCGGGUCAACACGCACGCCACACUUCAACUCCGUUCGUACGUGUGGAACACGUAGUCCUCGCUAGAUCUUGACAUUGGACUCGCGUCGUAUGAAUGAAUCACCAAUGAAUUGUCGAAAGACUUAUAUGAAAGUCGCGAGGACAUAAAAAUUCUUUCACACUUGAGACAAAAAAACCUGUAGGCCUUGGUCAGUUUGAAUAUCUUUUGACACUCUCAUGGAUAUAUCGAUAUAAAUAGCUCAAGGACGAGAAGUAUCGCGUUGCGAAUAAUGUAACGUCAUCGUUACUUUUGUUUUUUUAAUAAUUUGGCAUAAUAGCAAUUUUGCGUAACCGUAAUGGUAAUGGCGAGUUUGAAUAGUCACUUUCAAUAUGAAAUUUGUUACAUGUUAUUACUCAUUUGAAAAAAAAAUAAUUAGUUAGAUUUUAUUCGUUAUGUAACGAAUAAAACUAACGUAUUAGUAUUCAAACUCUGAUUCAUAAAAUAAAAAAAAUUAACGUUAUUACCGUAAUGAAUCAUUAUAAAAUGAUAAUGUUAUAAUGUAAUUUGUUACUUCCUGUAAACAACUUUAAUAACAUGACGCUUUAGAAAACGAGUAUUUAAUUUUGAGAGCUUGAAGCUAUUUUUUUGUUGGAUCUAUAAUUUUUUUCGAGUCCGAAAUUACUUCGAAACGAUCGAAUUCAUUUUAAUGUCAGCAAGAAAUAUUGUGUAAAAAUAGAUAAUUUUAUCGAAAGAAAUGCCCAUAAUCGCUAAUAGAACAAAAACACGGAGAGAGCAAAAACGUAUGUAUGUCUUACACGUUCAGUGUACCUGAGGCCAUCCGAGUUGUACUUUAUUUAUUUUCUCGUAGCUUGAAACACAAGAAAGUAUUGAUGACUCACCUUGUGUAUAUCUACGUGACUUGCUACUCGUGGUAAGGGGACUAGCUACACUUUCUAUACUUUGUUCUCUACUUUCUCUCUCGGAUGGAAAAUAACACAUUAAAAGGAAACGGACAGUCUCACAAUAACGAAUUUAGUUGUAACAUAAUUUUAUCAGCGGACAAAUUUUAUAUAUGUGUGUGUGUUUGUGCGCGUGCGUACGAAACAAAUCCUGGCUGAUAAUUAAAAAUUUGUAUAUUUUCACAUUGCACGUAUGUACAUAAAAUUUUUUCGCAAUCGCUCAUUCGUUCAGUAUGUAUAAAUGUUCCUUUGAAAUAUAUAUUAUCCGUUAAUAGUAAUUAAUAUUUAGUAUUGUAGCCGCAAUACCGAUGAUAGAGUACACUUUAAAAUCCCUGUCAUUUUGAUAAAAACCCACGUAAUUUACACUUAAAAUACAUGUAACAACCGACUAUUGUACACGCUUGCAUGUACAAAAAGAUUUACUUUCUCCGUACGGAUAUAUUACAAUCUAUACGUUCAUAGAAUUAUAUAUAAUACAUACAAUCCACCUUAGAAAAUAUUAAAAGAACUAUACCUUCAUAUUUUUUAUACAGAUUGUUCCGGAAGUCAUGUAUCUCUUUCUAAAAUACAAACAUUAAAAAG
rnacentral:lncRNA from 13 species